rnacentral:snRNA from 1 species
UCCAUCUGUCACCUAGUUGGUUACCAGAGUUGAUUCAGCUGAUCUNGCUGGCUAGGUGAGUACCCUCCUCUUCCCUCACUGCUCCAUGUGCCUCCCUCCCAAAGCUGCCCACUAGGCUGAAGAGGAUGACCUUCCCUGAAGAUAGGAGGACUGGUCUUAGGACAAUAGUAUAAUGAGUAGGUGUGCUCCCCUGCAAAAUCUUCCAAACAAGCUCCCAGCAUGCUUUUUAUUCCAGGGUAUCAACUAUGUCUUUUUACUAUUUCAAAUGCAAGGAACUGUGUCUAGUAUCU